CACACGUGACCCGGGGCUUCGGGCCCGGCUCCGUCGGCGCCUCCGCGCGCGCUGACGCUCGCCGUGCGCGCGCCCGUGCGUCGGCCCGGACGGCGCUCCCCUGUCACGUGCCCCGGCGCCGAGUGCUUCCCAGGGGGCCCCUCGCGCGGGAUUCGCUUCCUGUCCGGGUCCCUGAGCCGCGGCGGCGUGUAGAGAGAGUGAGGGGCUCGCGCCUCUGCGCCCCUGGGGGCUCACGGCGAAUGCGGCGGCUCCCGGGGCUUGCAGGCUCGUGCCCGCCCCGCCACCAGCUGGUCGUGUGACCUUGGGUUCGCCACCGCCCCUGUGAGCCUCAGUUUCCUCGUCCGUGCGGUGACCCCGGGCGGGGCAGUGCGUACAGGGCCUGCGCCAAAGGACGGAGGGAGACACCGUGCGGUGCUUGGCCCCUUAAGGCCGCGCGGCCGGUACCUGACCCUUCGCCUCGUGAGUCCCCGCGGGCGGAGACGAGGCUGCGGGGCUGCGUGGGCUUCCCUCGCGGGCCGGGCACCGGGCAGCGCCGGUGUGGCCCGCGGGCCUGAGGCCGGCCGACCACGGCCCUUGGCCCAGCCGUGGUGGGCGCCGCCUGCCGCGGUGGCCCUGGCCCUCGCUAGGUGGCACUGUCGCCGAGGAUCAAGCAGCGCGGGGGCGGGGUGGUGGCCCGGGCCGGCUUCCGCCGAGGGCCAACCCCGCGCCUGGGCCCCUGGCCACCUUCCUCCCCCUCCCCACCCCUCCCCACCCCGGACUAGAAAGAGAGUCCUUGGGAGCGGGCUGUGCGCCCCGGUGCCGGGUGCUGGGCGCCUCGUUUCCCCAAUCUGUGGCGGUUGACUCUGGGUGUUUAACGGUGAUCGAGACGAGUUCUGCCCUUCCUGGGGCCAGUGACUUCCUUUGGGGAGCCUGAAGGGUUAGCUGCACGUUCCCUUUUUGUCUGUGUUCAAGCUGGUAGCAUAAAACGCUGGGGUGAGAACUCGCACUUCCUGAGGGUGUCUUAGAGGUAUUUCUAGUACCCCCAGCAGGUUUGCGAGUGGGGGAGAGGCGUGGCUGCCUGAGGACACACAGUAAGCAGAGUGCUUGGCCUGUCCCACUCUGCCUUUCUCUGACGCCUUCUCAGGAGAUGGUCACACCACUUGACUCCGAUCCUUCCCCCAAAAUACCCACAGAUGCGGCCAUAUGGAAAAUCCUGAGUUCCAUAUUUCACUUUCAUUAAAAAAAAAAACUUUAAAACUGUUUAUUCUGACAGCAGGGGAGGGGCAAAGACGGAGAGAGAGAGAAUCCCAAGCGGGCUCCGUGCCGUCAGCGCUGGACGCAGGGCUCGAUCUCGUGAACUGUGAGGUCAUGCCCCGGGCUGAGAUCAAGAGUCAGAAGCUUAACCGGCAGAGCCACCCAGGUGCCCCCUGCGUUCCAUAUUUCUAAAAGGGCUUUCAUUAGAAGGAAAUAAGAUGACGAGACAGUCUCACAGUGUUGCACAGACUCCAGUGAGGGAGUAAGAGUCGCGGUCAAUGAGGUGAGGUCUGUGUGUUCUGUCUCUAGAACUCUGCUCCUCGUCUCUGCUCUCGCUGGAGGCGCCCUCGCGGAGAAGUCCUGUCCGGUGUGCUGACGUGGGGAGGGCCCGGGUAUUAAGGAAUGGAAGGAAGUGAUGGCUACAUUGAUUUAGUGAACGUUUGGGUGCUGGGGAAACAGGAGUGAAUAAAAGGAAACGCCCUGCUCUCGAGCCUACUUUCUGUUGGGGGAAACAGAUAGGGUAAAGGUGGAAUCUGAAGCGAGCUGACUCACUAGAUCCUCACUAGAGAGGAUUGAUAAAUAUUUACCGGGCACCCACGAUGUGUGAGGCACCGGGAUGCAGCAUUGAAUGGGACAGACCCAGCCCUCACCUUUUCCGUGCAUUCAGCCCGGUGGGAAGUCUGACACUUCCAUGAAUUGUUACACGGCCAGUCGUGAAAUUGCAGUUCUGUUUAUUUGGAGAGUGAGCACGAGUGGGGGAGGGGCAGAGAGAGAGAAUCCCAAGCAGGCUGCUCUCUGUCAGCACAGAGCCGAUUCGGGGCUCGAACCCACGAACCACAAGAUCAUGACCUGAGCCAAAAUCAAGCAUCCGAUGCUUCACCGACUGAGCCAUCCACGUGGAGCCACCCACCCCAGUGCCGGGCUGAUCGCUAACAAAGCUGGAAACAACCUGGAUUCCGUGACAGUGGAAUGACCGCGUGGUGGCAUAGUCACACGGUGGAGCACAGGGCAGCAACGGGGCUGAAUGAGUGACAUCUGCAUUCACAGCAUCCAGGAUUCUCACAAAAAACCAAAACCAAAAAAAUGCACGAAAGAUUACGAUUCCAUUUACGUAAAGUUUAGUAGGCAAAGUCAACGUAUGCUAUUAGAAGUCAAAAUAGGGGUUACUUUUCUUUCAUCUGUUUGAAUUGUGGAAAAACACCUGUAACCUAGAAUUUACUGUUCUGGCCAUUUUACCGUGUGCAUUCCAGCAGCAUUCGGUACAUUCAUGGUGUUGUGUGCCCAUGAUCUCUGUCGAGUUCUAGAACUGUGACAGUCACUCCCCACUCUCCUCCCCCCAUGAUGUGACUUGUGGAGAUCCUGGAGGGAGUGAUGACUGGCAGGGGACGUAAUGGGGGCUUCUGGAUAUUGGUAAUGUUCUUUUGUUUUACCUGGGUGAGAUCGUAUGGGUGUGUUUGUGUUGCGAAAAUGUCACUGUAUGUUUAUAAUUUAUAUGUAUUUUGUAUCUAAUAUCUAAAUACAUAUAAAUUUAGAGAUCUAUAAUAUCCGUACAGAUAUCUAUUAUAUAGAUAGGUACAUAUUUGUAUACAUAUUAUAUACUAUAUACAUUUAAUAUACAGAUAUAUUAGAUAUUUAUAUGUAAAGUGAUAACGAUUAUUUUUCUAGGAGGUAGGACUAUGAAUCUCUAUUGUACUUUGUUUUGCUAAUUUGUAUUUUCCAGUUGGUCUUCGUGAAUAUGUAUAACUGUGGUAAUAGUUUUUAAAUAAAUAGUUUUUAAAUUUAAAAUAUCCUAAAUAAAGGAAAAUAACAUCCGUU